rnacentral:lncRNA from 1 species
GGAUAUGAAGACUUGAACAUCACAUAAUAAUAAAAUCAUAUCACACAAACAAACUAAUAUAAACUAAAGUGAUUUAAUUAUCAAUACGCAUUUCAUGAUUAUUUAUCAAUUAAAAUACAUGAGCGUCAAUCACAGUUUGUCUUUUCAUACCCAGAACAAGUGUUUUUCUCCUUAUGCACAUACAUAAUCCUUUUUGGAAAAAUCAUAAAACUCUCCGUGAUCUGAUUUAUUUUUGCCACUGUUUGCGACAUUUCCGUCUCAUUCCAAGUCAUGCAACCCUGAACAACACCUAUGACCCAUAUAUACACAAUAUAAGGAUUCUGUAUAUGCUUUUAUUGAUUUAUAUUUGUAGCUAUAAAUAUAUAUACAGAGAGAUGUCUUACUUGAUGUAACGAUGAGAAUGAAGAGCACCACAAUUUUCUCCAUUCUGCACAACCAAAAAUUAUUAUAUGUGAAAUUGGCUGUGUCAAUAUAUAUGCACACUCAAUCAGAGGGUAUUAGGAAAGAAAUAAAUAUUAUAUUUGCAGAGAUUGAGCUAAUCAUAUUUGGAAAAUGCUAGGUAUUCCAGAAAGUUAAACUGAUCCCAUGAAAUGUUACAUCUUUCUAAUGGACACAAAUCAGUUGCUCUAAGUUAGGCACCUGAGUGCUUUGCAUUCACUUGGGCAACCAUCAUACAUCUGCUAUGAUUCAAAAAUGUCGACUUCUUUUGUUUUCUCCUCCUUCCUUGUUAGAAUGAAUUUUCCUCUAAUUUGGUGUUUGAUAUUCCUCAAAACAGUGAGCAGACAACAUUAGUUGCAACAUUGAAUGGUACCAUUCAUUUAGUGGAUCCCAAGUCUAAAAAAGUUCUAUGUUCUCAGGCAACAGGGGGCUACUUUAACUUCAUAUCACACCCCCUGUCGAGUGUCGAACAUAACGAAUCUGGACCUUGACCUCUUUACUAGAUGGAUUGUGGAGAUGACUGGAUGUUGUAUGCGCACACUAAGCUUGGCAAAAUGGUGUGUCCUUUACUCUUACUUCUGCCGCUCAACUGCAUUUCCUUUAUUCUGGAUCAGACCCCAGUACAGAACCUCAACAUUUUAAACCCGUAAACCUAUCACAGCAUCAACUAUGCACCAUUCAUGUGAUUAUUACUUUGUUUGAAUUCAUAUUUCCCCUCUAGUCUCAUCUAACUAUCUAAGUUUGUGCAGAACCAACUAAAACCAGUUUCAAGAGCUACACUCUGAUUAGAUUAGAUAUGUGGCCCGAGUUGUAGCAGUUUAUCAUUAGCCAAAGACCCAAUCCAACAUUAGCUUAUAAUCAUCUCAUUGCACACAGUGCACUAUGCGGAAGGAAUAUAAUUAACUAGAUGCAAAUAAUCAAGAAAGUGUUUAUAUGUAAAACUUUGAUUAGGCGUGCUUUUCAACAUAUACUCUACAACCCAUUAGACCUGUAAAAUUUACGCCAGGCACAGUGAUCAUUUUGUAUUUGAACAGGGGAGAAAACAUGGGAACCACGAGAACCGACAUUAAAUCAAUCAAACCAAUAUAACACUUGAUAACUCCAGAUCCCGUUCCGGUGGCUCCUCCGCCGUGCACUGGUGUCUUGCGGUGUAGCUGCUGGAUGGGUGUCUGCAAAACAACACCGGAGGGGGGUUUGGGCCCCGCGGUGUGGUGGGUGAAGGUGUAUGUGUGGUGGUUGCUGGUGGCUGGUGGCUGAGAGUGUUUGAAUAUAUGCUGAAUGUAAAUGUGUGUGAGAAUGAGUGUAAAAAGAGAGUUACCCUUGAACUCCUGAUCUUGGUCCUAUUUAUAGGCCAAGGAUUAGGGUUCAAGGGUGCGUACCUGGAUCCUGGUCCUACACGUGUAGGGGUUUGAUCCCCUACACGUGUCCAGGUGUCAGCGUAGGAGUAGUAUUUUGGAAUGUUCCUUGGCUUGUCUCUAUCGCCAGUAGUUGACCGUUAUGUUUGUCUUUAUCGUGUCAGUCUGCGCCUUGUGCAGCAAGUGUCGGCUGAUACCUAUGUGAACCCUGGUCGAGGAGGGUGCUCGGGUAAUGCCCGGGUUCGGGAUCCUACCCGGGUGGUGUAUCCGGGUUAGGGUUGAUAGGUUGUGCUUUCCGGGGACCAUGGUCCUCAUGUGGGCCCGAGUUUGGACAACCCGGGUAACUCCACAUCAUUUGCCCCCCACUCCCUUAUAUAGAUUCUCUAUGUGAGGGAGUAGAGUGGAGUUUUUGCUUUGUUUCCCCGAUCGAGUGGACCCGGAUAAGGGUGGAGGUUUAUUCUUGCCCCCCGGCCUUGAUUGAUCCGGGUAGAUAUAGGAGUUUAUGUUUGCUCUUCUAUUCGGGUAGAUCCGGGUGAGGGUGGAAGCUAGUGGAGGGACCCAGGUCGGGUGAAUCUUGCUGUAUUUCUGUACCCCUGUAUUCGUGGACCCGGGUGGGGGAAUCGUCCUGGUUGAGGGAUGGUGAAACGGUUGAGGUGUGUAGAAUUUGAACGGGUUGAGUGUCUCGGAAGUUGCACCGACGCGUCUUUUGAGGAGGGGUAAUAAUAAACGGCUGUAAUAAUUGCUAUACGGCCAAUGGGAGGUUGCCACGUGGUUUAUCAGUAUGGCUAUAAAUAUAGCUUCCCCUCCCACUCCUUUAUUUUUCAUUUUCGCUUUCGUCUUUUUUCUCUCCAUUGUUUCAAAAAUCGCUGUGGGUGCUUCUUGUGGCUUGUACGAGUUCGAGUGUGGUGGUUGCUUCUGCUUCGUUCUCGCGACUUUGAUUUCGGUAAGCGUGCUUCCUCUUUUCAUCCUUUUACCGUUUUUACUCCAAAUAGAUGCCAUGCUUUGAUUUUGCGGGUUUGUACAACUGUUUGCCGUAGCUCUGAUCUUUGGUUUAUCGUGUUUUGACUCGUUGUGCUUUAGUUUGGGGAAGUUUGUGAGUCUUUUGUGGUUUGUGGUUUCGAUUUAAGACAGUUUGAUGUUUGCAUUUUUGGUUUGGGGUUUCGAUCUUUUGAGAAUCUGCAUUUCGGUUUAAGGCUUUUGGUUGAAUGUUCUUGCGUGUGUAUGCGUGUAUAUAUGUGUGUAUAGGAGGGUUUUUGGUUUUGAUUUUUGUUUUUGAUUUGAAGUAAUGAAGGAACUGUUUGUGGCUUUUGAGUUUUCGGGGCCUUGAACUGGACCCGGGUAGGACAGGUAUGCCCGGGUUGGGUAGUUUCAGGAGAUGGUUGUUUUAGGUUUAGGUGUUUGGUAGAUGGUGUAUAUAAUUGCGAAGGGGAGGGUCUCCGACCCGGGUACGUAUAUUAGGUCCGGGUAGGGAUUUUGGGUGUUUUGUUUUGUACUUGGGAAAACGUUUUUGUGCUGUAGUAUGUAUAUAGAACCCGGGUGUCCUUUUAGUAUAUAGUACUCUUCUCCCACGUAAAUUUGAAGAAAGAGAGGGCCCGGGUAGGCUUGUAGGAUAUGGUGUAUGUGUCUUAAUGGUGAGCCCGGGUAGAUGUGUUGAUAUUCUUGCAGCUUCCCGACUUGUGAGGAUUUUUACGCCGCUGUAACAUAUAUCGGAUCCGGUCGUGUUUCUACUAUAUAGUAUUCUCUUCCCGCGUAAUUCUGGAAAAGGAGCGGCCCCGGGUAGGUUUGUAAGAUGUUUGCAGUGUAAGAUGGACCCGGGUAGCUCUUUAUGGUGUGCUUGUUUUUUGUUUUCUCUUUGGUAUGUUCUUCACAUAGGAUUAGGAUGGGAUCCGGACCUAAAUAAAACUUGUCACAAUGUGUGAAUUCUAAAAACUGACCCGGAUUGCUUCUCUGUUUAGGUCCAUGGUCCGGAUCCCUAGGCGGCAAAGACGAGAGAUUGUUGCGUAUUCUGCUGUACCCAGGGAGUUUUCCAAUGACACAGAGUGCGACGAAGUCCAUACUCUUGCUCACCGUGCUCAGGUGAAGAUGGCUGAAAGAGAAGUUUCUUCUACCGGGGUGGUGUCCGCGUUUCAGAAGGUCACCAAGACGAUUGGGAGGCAGGUAAUCAUGUCCCCAGAAGGUGUCUGGUGUGAUUCUAAGUCAUAUUUUAUUACCAAGGCCCCCCUUGUCGAGGAGAAGGGUUUUUACACGAAUAUGGCCGGGUUCUAUAGGCGUAAGCAUCCUGACGGCCCCUUAGCUCCCUAUAACAAGGAAGAGUUCGAUGAGAGGUUUCGAGAAUUUCCUGGGAUCCGGGCUCCGUUCCCGGUGAGGAACCACAUCAAAGAGAUGUCUCCGGAUAUGGCUGACCGGAUGAUUCGGGCAGCUUUUCAACUUCCCCCCGAGGUCGAGUGGAGGUGGCCUGAGCCCGGGGAGAAGAUAUAUCAUCGACCCGGAGACGGUUUCGUUCCGGUAUGGAUGGAACAUCUUCGGUCCGGGUGGAACCCCCGGUGGCACGUUUUUUUCAAACACUUGUGCAAGUACGAGUGGAAGAUUUCUCCAAUGCAGCUGACUCCGAACGCGGUCAAAUGGAUGACCUGGUUCUUGUGGGCGUGUAACAAGAUGAACUAUUAUCCAACGCUGAAGCUGUUCCACGUUUUGUUUCAAUUUAAGAAAUCCGGGGUGAGACCCUUGUACGAGCUUCGCUUCCGCUCGAAGGAGUGUGGCCUGGGAACCGGGCUUGUGAGUCCGGUUAUUCACCAGAGUUCGCUGAAGGGCUGGAACGGUGAAGUUCUCAUGUUGAAAGGGCUGGAUCUGGCCUUUAUGCCGUACAUCGAGACGGAUGAUACGAAAGUUAGGACCGAUUUUGGUGCUCCGGGUGCUGCGGGGGAAUUCCAGGCUCAGCUGGUCGAGUUCUGUACUUGUAUCGGGUUUCAAUUGACCCGGGACACAUUUAUGCAACAUGACAAGCUGCACGAGGGUGGCUGUAAGUUGUGUUCUUUUCUUGUCCCUUGAUUUCGCUUUGAUUUUGCUUUUGUAGUGUCUUGUCCGGGUUCUCCUUUUUAUAGCUUGCAUAUUCCGUUAGAAUAAUUUGUUGUAGCAUGUUGUCCGGGUCUAUUUUCUUUGUCCUGUUUCCUUAGUGAAGUCUUGUUGGAUUUGUAUUUUCGUUAUUUGCCCUUGACCCGGGUUCUCUUCUUUUUGGCAGGUCUCCCAUACUUUGAUCCGGAUCUCUGGGAUAUCAUGUCUGCAAAAGAUUCUUUCGCCGCCGCUCUUCGGAAUUUGGGAGGUGUGCACGUGGCCCCGAAACCUCAGCCGAAGAAGAAAUCGGGGAAGAAGGGGGACUCGAAGAAAGGGGAGUCCGGGUCCUCCCGCCAGGGAACGGAGGGUACCGGGCAUUCCAGUGCUACUCCGGGUGUUACUCCGGAUCCGGACCUACAAAUAGAGAAUCCGGAGUUGGUCGCUGAGGCUGAAGAGGUGGAGAGCCCGGAUCAAGGGCCAAAGAGGAAGAGGAAGAAGACUGAUGCUGGUUCUUCCCAGAGGCAAGUGAUUGAUAUGACGGUGGAGGAUCCGGGCAAGUCGGCUAUGGAGGUGGUGGAUCUUGGGGUUGAAACUGAGGGCGGUUCCCGACCGACCCCUAAAUUCGGCAAGUACCCGGUUAAGAAAGUGCUCGGGCUGAUGUCCGAACUCCCCUCUGACCAAGACUGGGAGAUGAUGGAGGACGAGGGUCUUGCCUCGAAUUUUAAAGAAAUCGGAAACUUGUGGGGUCAGGUAUCUUACAAUCCGACUCCUUUCUCUCUCUUUUUUUUUGUACUUUGCUUUCCUUCUCUGUUUUCGUAAUUUUCGGUUUUAUUGAUCCCGGUAUCCUGCUUCUUUUUUAGCUUGGUGGUCGUCUGGCCGGGUUCAAUACCCAUGCAUUGAACAGUUUGAAGAAGGAGAGGGAUCUUUCCGUGAAGAGCCUCGCUCGGGUCACAAAGUUGGAGAAGGAUCUUGACGUGGAGAGGUCAGCCCGGGAGGCUUUGGAGUCCGGGGUGGCUUCCAAGAUCAAAGAGGCUGAGAUCCGGAAAGAGGCUGAGUUGGAUCAGAAGAUUAAGGAUGCUGGGACCCGCGCUGACAGUGCUGAGAAGAGAGUAGCCGGCCUGGAGAAGGAAGUGUCUGAUCUGAAGAAGCUGUUGGAAAGUAGGAAAGAGCCGGAGGAGGUUAUUGCUGAGUUCAAAGAAUCUACAGCCUUUGGGGACGCCCUGGCUAAUGCUGCUGCAGCGGAAGUCGUCUGUUGUUGGAACGUGGCAGAGAAGCACAUCAAAACUGAUCCGGGGGCUAACCUUCAGAGUUUCAUCGAAAUCUUCCUGGCAGCUAAGGAUAAGAUUAAGGCCGGGAAGGGGGAACCGGAGCCGUAUGAUGGUCCGUCCCCUAGCUUUCUUCCUCCCGCCAACCCGGGUAAUGACUCCGAUCCGGAUUCUUCCUCCGCGGAUUCCGAGCCUGCUGAUGGGACUCCUGCUGACGAGACCCGGGAUAACGAGACUCCUGCUGCCUGAUCUCCUUCUCUUUCCAGUUUGUUCAUAUUUGAUUUAAGAACAAUGUUUUUGUAAGACUAAGUACGUUUGAUCUGGAUGUUUGAUAUGGUCUGGAUGGACCCGGUUGCAGUAUUUUUAAAUACUGCUUAUGAAUGAAUGCUUUUAUUUGUUCGAGAUAUUUCUUAUUCGGAUGUUUUGCAUAUGUAGCUUUAUACUUUAGAAAUUUUUCUAAGUAACAGUGCACAGGUGGAUCCGGGUAUAUUUUACCCGGGGUUGAUUGCUUAUGCAAUUUCGUACUUAGAAAUUUUCUAAGUAAAAUGAACAGGUGGGUCCGGGCAACCUUCGCCCAGGUUGAUUGCUUUCGUUUGCUUUUAUACUUAGAAUUUUUCUAAGUUGAAUAAAAUAGAUGGACCCGGGCAACGUUUACCCGGGUUGAUUGUUUGAACAAUUUUGUACUUAGAAGUUUUUCUAAGUAAAUGAACAGGUGGAUCCGGGCGACCUUCGCCCGGGUUGAUUGCUUUCGUUUGCUUUUAUACUUAGAAUUUUUCUAAGUUGAAUAAAAUAGAUGGACCUGGGCAACGUUUACCUGGGUUGAUUGCUUGAACAAUUUUGUACUUAGAAGUUUUUCUAAGUAAAUGAACAGGUGGAUCCGGGCGACCUUCGCCCGGGUUGAUUGCUUUCGUUUGCUUUUAUACUUAGAAUUUUUCUAAGUUGAAUAAAAUAGAUGGACCCGGGCAACGUUUACCUGGGUUGAUUGCUUGAACAAUUUUGUACUUAGAAGUUUUUCUAAGUAAAUGAACAGGUGGAUCCGGGCGACUUCGCCCGGGUUGAUUGCUUUCGUUUGCUUUUAUACUUAGAAUUUUUCUAAGUUGAAUAAGAUAGAUGGAUCCGGGCAACCUUCACCCGGGUUGAUUGUCUUAUUUGGCUUUUACACUUGGAAAUUUUUCCAAGUGAAAUGACUGAAUUGAUGGAUCCGGGUAGUUGUGACCCGGAUUGUUUGCUUUACUUGCGUGGGCUGCCUUAGAAGUUUUCUCAAAUAGAUAAUAACAUAGAUUCUUCAAAGGCAAAAGAUUUUAUUGAUAUUAAAUCGGUUACACAGCUCUAAAGAUGAUCAAAAAUACAUGAUUGCUUUUAGGUAUGUAUAGCUGUCUUCUAGGAUUUUUCCUUCUUGUUGGUCUUACUGAUAGAACUUCCUUAGCCUGAGUCCAUGCCAGGUGUUGGAUACUUCUGAUCCGUCCAUAUGCUCUAGUUUGUAGGUACCCGGUCUUAGAACUUCUCUGACCUUAUAGGGUCCUUCCCACUUCGGCAUCAGCUUGCCAGUGUUGGUUGGAUCUGAGGCCUCGGUGUCUCGUAGGACCAGGUCUCCCGCUUGAAAGUUUCUAACCCGGGACUUUUUGCUGAAGUGAUCCCGGGUCUUCUCUUUGUAUUUUUCCAUCCUUGCGACCGCCUGAUCUCGAACUUCAUCUACUAGGUCCAAGUUGACCCGGAGUCAUUCCUCGUUUGCAAUUUCGUCGAAGUUGAUCACUCUGUGGGAGGGUGACCCGACUUCGAUUGGGAGCAUUGCCUCUGUUCCAUAGGCCAAUUUGAAGGGAGUUUCUCCGGUGCUUGUUCGAGGGCUAGUUCGGUAUGACCAGAGGACAUGAGGUAGUUCUUCUAGCCACUUGCUUUUGCUUUCCUCCAGCCUCUUCUCAAUUCCUCUCAGGAGGAUUCGGUUGGUAACUUCUACUUGACCAUUUCCUUGAGGAUAGGCGACUGAGGACUUUUUAUGCUUGAUGCCUCUGUCAGGCAGGUAUUUUUCGAAAUCCGACCCUAUGAACUGGGGUCCAUUGUCUGAGACCAGGACUCUUGGUAAUCCGAAUCUCAUCAGAAUGUUAUCCAUGAACCGGAUGACAUCUUGCUGAUUGAUUGUCCGCAUUGCUUUAGCCUCGACCCACUUGGUCAUGUAAUCGAUGGAGACAAGAAGGUACCUGAGGUCUCCUUUGGCCCGGGGAAAGGGUCUCAUGAUGUCUAUUCCCCAAACAGCAAAAGGGAUUGGAGAUAGGACUGAGGAGGGUAGGACAGGGCUCACCCGGGGUACGUUGCUGAAUAGUUGGCAGUUCUUGCAUUUUUUCACAAACUCCAUGGCGUCCUGGUGGAUAGUUGGCCAAUAGUAGCCUUGCCGGAUGAUUUUAUAUGCUAGGCCUUUUGCCGACAUGUGAUCUCCACAUAUCCCUUCGUGAACUUCUCUUAGACAAUAUUCGGCCUCCUCCGGACCUAUGCAUUUCAGGAUUGGGGCUGAAUAGGUCCGGCGGAAGAGUGUUCCUUCUUCGACAAAAAAUUUGGCCGCAUUAGCCUUCAGCCGUUGUGCUUUCCCCUUGUCUUCGGGUAACUCUCCCUUCUCUAUGUAGUUGAUCAGGGGAGUCAUCCAGGUAGGGUCGUUGUUGAUCUCGAAAAUUUCCUCAUGUUCUAUUGUUGGCUUGUGCAAUUCUUCGAAAUAGACUGAGCUAUCCAGGUCCGCUGAAUUUUGGACUAACCUUGAGAGGAUUUCCGAUUCGGCAUUUUCUUCCCUGCUGACUUGCAAGAUCUUGCACCCGGGGAUCAGAGUGAGGUAGCUUUUUACCAGGGCUUGAUACUUGGUCAAGAUCGGGUCUUUGGCAAGGUAUUCUCCAUUGGUCUGCCUGACCACGAUCUGGGAAUCACUGUAGAUGGUGAGAUUUCGGAUAGACAGGGUCCGGACUAAUUUCAACCCUGCUAGAAGAGCUUCGUAUUCCGCUUGGUUGUUGGUUGCUGCGAAACCGAAGGAGAUUGAUGUUUUGAUGGUGAACCCAUCCGGGCUUUUCAGGAUUAGCACGGCUCCUGACCUUUCGGUUGUUGAGGAGCCGUCAACAUGGAGUAUCCAAGACCCCGGAUUAGGUUCUACCGGGGCUUCGGGUUCAGUUUCCAUGGGGGUUGCCUGGUUUUCUGGGAAGUUGCAUUCCACCACGAAGUCUGUCAGGACCUGGGCUUUGACUGCUGUCCGGGGUAGGAAUGUUAGGCUGAACUGGCUAAGUUCGAUUGCCCAGUUUACCAGCCUCCCGGAGAUGUCUGGCUUGUGGAUGAUUUUCCUCAAAGGUUGGUCUGUGACAAUCCUGAUUUCUCUUCGUUGAAAGUAGUGUCUGAGUUUCCUGGAUGCGGUGAUCAGUGCAAAUGCAAAUUUUUCUAAGUUGGGAUAUCUGGUUUCCGCAUCCUUCAAGACUUGGCUAACAUAAUAGACGGGUUUCUGUUGUCCGGCUUCUUCCCUGAUCAACGUCGCCCCGACAGCAAGGGGUCCGGCUGACAGGUAUAGGUAUAGAGGUUCUCCGGGUAAGGCCUUUGUCAGGAUCGGAGGCUUGGACAGAUAUGCUUUGAUUUCUUCAAGGGCUUUUUGGCAAUCCGGGCUCCACUCUACUGACUUCUGAUUUUUCGCCCCUUUUAACAAUUCAAAGAAUGGUAGACAUCUUUCAGCAAGUUUCGAGACAAACCUUCGAAGUGCUGCCAAGGACCCUGCUAGCUUCUGAACUUCCCUUUGAGUCCGGGGUGGUUGCAUUUCUUGAACUGCUUUGAUCUUCUCUGGGUUGGCCUCGAUACCCCGGUUGCUUACCAUAAACCCCAGAAAUUUUCCAGCCUCUACUCCGAAGGUGCAUUUGUCCGGGUUGAGUUUUAGUUUAGUCCUUCUCAUGUUCUCAAAACAUUCUUUGAGAUCUGCUAUGUGACCCGGGACUGAUGUUGACUUGGAGAUGAUGUCGUCGACAUAGCAUUCUAAGUUCCUUCCAAGUUGGUCUUUGAAAAUUUCGUUCAUUGCCUUCUGGUAUGUAGACCCGGCGUUCCUUAACCCGAAAGGCAUUAGUUUGUAGGCAUAUACCGCCCGAUGGGUUAUGAAGGCUGUUUUCGCUAUGUCUGCUGGGUUCAUCUUAACCUGAUUGUACCCGGAGAAAGCAUCCAUAAAGCUUAACAUCAGGUGUCCUGACGUGGCAUCAAUAAGCUGAUCAAUGCUGGGUAGAGGAUAAGGGUCUUUGGGGCAUGCAGCGUUCAAAUCUGUGUAAUCGACGCACAUCCUCCACUUGCCGUUUGCUUUUUUAACCAUGACUACAUUUGCAAGCCACUCCGGGUAUUUAAUUUCACAUAUGAUAUCCGUCUUCAUCAACUUGCCAACUUCCUCGUCUAUCGCCUGUUGCCUCUCCGGGGCGAAAUUUCUUCGCCUUUGUUUGAUCGGCUUUUUCUUAGGAUCUACAUCCAAGCUGUGCAUUGCUAGAGACUCAUCCAACCCGGGCAUGUCGUCCGGACUCCAGGCAAAGAUAUCUGCAUAGUUCCGGAGUAGUUGGACGAGUUCUUCUUUGAAAACGGUAUCCAGGCCUUUCCCGAUUUUGAUUUUUCUCUUCGGGUUGUCUUUCUCGAUCAGGAUAGACUCGGUUUCGACCGCAGCUNUGAUGUUGACUUGGAGAUGAUGUCGUCGACAUAGCAUUCUAAGUUCCUUCCAAGUUGGUCUUUGAAAAUUUCGUUCAUUGCCUUCUGGUAUGUAGACCCGGCGUUCCUUAACCCGAAAGGCAUUAGUUUGUAGGCAUAUACCGCCCGAUGGGUUAUGAAGGCUGUUUUCGCUAUGUCUGCUGGGUUCAUCUUAACCUGAUUGUACCCGGAGAAAGCAUCCAUAAAGCUUAACAUCAGGUGUCCUGACGUGGCAUCAAUAAGCUGAUCAAUGCUGGGUAGAGGAUAAGGGUCUUUGGGGCAUGCAGCGUUCAAAUCUGUGUAAUCGACGCACAUCCUCCACUUGCCGUUUGCUUUUUUAACCAUGACUACAUUUGCAAGCCACUCCGGGUAUUUAAUUUCACAUAUGAUAUCCGUCUUCAUCAACUUGCCAACUUCCUCGUCUAUCGCCUGUUGCCUCUCCGGGGCGAAAUUUCUUCGCCUUUGUUUGAUCGGCUUUUUCUUAGGAUCUACAUCCAAGCUGUGCAUUGCUAGAGACUCAUCCAACCCGGGCAUGUCGUCCGGACUCCAGGCAAAGAUAUCUGCAUAGUUCCGGAGUAGUUGGACGAGUUCUUCUUUGAAAACGGUAUCCAGGCCUUUCCCGAUUUUGAUUUUUCUCUUCGGGUUGUCUUUCUCGAUCAGGAUAGACUCGGUUUCGACCGCAGCUUCGACCUUGGUUAAUUCUUGUGCCGAGAUCAUUUGUUGGAUCCGGGCAUCAGUGUUCUUCUCAACGAAAUUUUGAGCUGGGCUCAUGGUUGCUUUUUGGUAGCUUUGUCCAGGACCAGGAUUGGGUGUUCCCGGGUUCUGACUGCCCGGGUCUAGGUUGAUGACCUGGACUUCACCCUUAGGGUUUGUUCUUGGGUAGGGUCGAUGUUUUUUGUUACUUCUCUGUUUUUGGAAGACGGUAGCCUUCCUCUUGUUGUCCAUGUGGGGUUCUGCCAUAACCAAGGCUUGGCUGUAACACACCCCGGCUGUUUCCGAAUCUCCUUUGACUUCGCCUGCCCCGAAUGGAGUUGGGAAUUUGAAUUUCAGGUGCGUGACAUAAGUGAUGGCUUCGAUUUUGUUUAGACUCGGACGGCCAAUGAUCACAUUGUAAGAGGAAGGAGUGUCUGUAACAUAGAAUUUGAUCAUAUGGACGACCUGGGUUGGGGCUGUUCCAAAACGAACCGGGAGGUAAAGGGUUCCUAGGACCGGGACAAUGCUGUUCCCGAAUCCGUAUAAGGGGUCCUCCCUGUAGUCGUUCAUCCGGAUGUUCCCUAGUUGCAUUCGGUCCAUGGUAUGCUUGAACAAGAUGUUUGCUGAAGAGCCGUUGUCGACUAGGAUCCGUCUGACCUCAUUCUCGGCUAUAUCCAAGGUUACCACCAGGGCCUGAUUGUGACCCCGGGUGACUCCCUCAAAGUCCUUGCUGCUGAAGGAAAUGAUUUGUUCGGGGAAGGUCUGUAUGGACAUUACUUCUUGACAUGAGUCCGGGCUGGGAGGAGGGGAACAGGAUCCUCCCAAGACUACAUUGACUAUGUUCUUUUGUUUUCCCGAACCUUCUCCCUUGUUUGCUGUGUUCCGGGCUAUGUAUUGUCCCAUGUUGCCUUUGCUGAUUUGCUCUUCAAUGAAAUACUUGAGGGAUAUGCAGUUUUUCGUUUUGUGACCGUGGGUGCCAUGAUAGUCACAAUGUCGGUUGGCGGGUCUGCUCUCUGGAGGAGUCUGCAUGGGUUUUGGAGGGUAGUAGAAAGGUUUGUCUCUGAUUUCUUUGAGUAUAUCCUCGCGGGAUCUGUUCAAUGGAGUCCAAUCAGGUUCUGGUUUUGGCUCCCUGGUUGCUUUGUUUGGACCGGGGUCACUUCUAGACCCGGAUCCUGGCUGGCUGGUCCUCUUAGAACCUGAAUGCUGGAUGAAGUUGGUUUGUCUAUCUGGCUUGAAUUUCUUGUCCUGGUGAUAUUCUUCUCUAGGUCUGUCCUCGACCUGUUUCCCUUUUGAGCUACCCUGCCGGGUCAUUCUCAUGGCUUGGAGUACGUCGGUUUCCUUAAUGAAUUUCGCGGCCAUGGCAGAGGCAGCUGCCAGGCUCUGAGGGUCUUUGUUGAUCAACUCGACCACAUAUCUUUCAUUUUGUUCCGGGUCCAGGUUUCUUCGGAAUAUGCUCAGAGCCUCACGCUCAUCCAGGUUGGAAAUUUUGUUGAUUGCUUCCUGGAAACGUUUCAUGUAGUCUGAAAGUGCCUCGUUGUCAUAUUGACGAACCGUUUCCAGGUGACACAUAUGAAGUUCAUGUGUCUUGUUUGCUCGAAACCUUCUGAGGAAGGCUUCCCUGAAGUCUUUCCAGGACCCGAUGCUCCGGGAGGGGAUCCGGCUGAACCAUCUCUGGGCCCCUCCCUUGAAUGUGGAUGCGAAGAAGCGGCAUUUGGUCAGAUCAUUGUAGUAGUAGAUCUGGGCUAUCUGUUCAAAAUAGUGCAGGUGUUCCUCCGGGUCACCCAGUCCAUUGAAGGAUUCGAACUUGUAGUGUUUCAUGCCCUUUUGCUGAGGAAUAGAUUCUAAGGAGUGGCUGAACGGAGUUAGGGUUCCUCCAAUUUCGAGCCCGGAAUCAUUCCCAAUUUUCCUGUUAAGCUCAUUGAUCAUAUCUCUGAGGUUGGUUUGUCCCGGUCUCUCAUCCUCGUCAUCAGAGAUGAGUUCGGGUGUUGUUUCUUUCCGGUAUCGCUUGGACCGGGAUCCUUUUGUCAACUUCUCCUCUUCGAGUUGAAUCCAGAGGGCGAUUUUUUGCUCAAGUUUUUCCUCUUCCUCUUUUCGGAUCUGUUCUUUCCUUUCAGCCAAGAUUUUCAGCCGGGUUUCCUCACUUUCUUUUUGUUUCUUUUUCUUUGCUUUGUCUCCGAUCCGGUCGAAGACGGAACCCCGGGAUUGACGACUGUUCCCAGAGUCCUCGGACUCGCCGAUGUCCUCAAGUCUGCGGUUGCUUUCCCGGCGAUCGUGGUACUGCCGGAUGGCCUCGGCCAACUCUACAUUGGUGAGCUGGGACAGGUGGAGGGUGGUGACCGGGACAUCGGUGUACUUGUACUGGUUCGCUUCGAUCGUGACCCGUGCAUCAUUGGGUUGCUUGGUUCUCGUCCGGGUUCACAUGGGUGAAAAGGGGUCCUGAGGCAUGAUCCUGGUUCGGGUUGUCCUGGUCUGUCUGAGGGUUAUCCGGGUUCUGGGGAAGACCCAAGUGGGAGCGUGUCCUUUUUGUCAUGGUUCCAAGAACUCACACAGGGUAUAUGGUUGCUGUUUUGGUGGUAGUGCCCACAAAUAGUAUAGAUAAUGAAAGGAUGACAGAAAUAGUGUGUACAGGUAGUCAACUUACUAUUUUCAGAAGUAUCACAAAUAGUUAAGUGACAAAAUGUGUGCAGGUGUGAGACAAAAAGAUUUUAUGUGCUACAGACAAGAUUAGGGUUUUGCUCAGACAGGGUUUGCUAACAUGCUCUACUACAGACAAAUUUAGGGUUUUGUUCAGGUAAGGUUUUCUAUCAUGCACAUAUCAAGAAAAGCCAUGGCUGAGGGUUUUGAGAAGCUGGGUGUUUUGUGAGAGCUUACAGGUGUGAUUUCGGACCCCCUUUUCGGGAGCUUGUUGAAGAAGAUGAGUCCAGUGGCACCGUGACCACAGGACAGAGAACACCUUCCCCUCCUUCUAGCGCCAAAUGAUAACUCCAGAUCCCGUUCCGGUGGCUCCUCCGCCGUGCACUGGUGUCUUGCGAUGUAGCUGCUGGAUGGGUGUCUGCAAAACAACACCGGAGGGGGGUUUGGGCCCCGCGGCGCCUCCGGCGUGAGAAUGAGUGCAGGUAUCGGAAUAGAUGAACAGGAAAUAGGCUAUCUAUGUGUGGUGGGUGAAGGUGUAUGUGUGGUGGUUGCUGGUGGCUGGUGGCUGAGAGUGUUUGAAUAUAUGCUGAGUGUAAGUGUGUGUGAGAAUGAGUGUAAAAAGAGAGUUACCCUUGAACUCCUGAUCUUGGUCCUAUUUAUAGGCCAAGGAUUAGGGUUCAAGGGUGCGUACCUGGAUCCUGGUCCUACACGUGUAGGGGUUUGAUCCCCUACACGUGUCCAGGUGUCAGCGUAGGAGUAGUAUUUUGGAAUGUUCCUUGGCUUGUCUCUAUCGCCAGUAGUUGACCGUUAUGUUUGUCUUUAUCGUGUCAGUCUGCGCCUUGUGCAGCAAGUGUCGGCUGAUACCUAUGUGAACCCUGGUCGAGGAGGGUGCUCGGGUAAUGCCCGGGUUCGGGAUCCUACCCGGGUGGUGUAUCCGGGUUAGGGUUGAUAGGUUGUGCUUUCCGGGGACCAUGGUCCUCAUGUGGGCCCGAGUUUGGACAACCCGGGUAACUCCACAUCAGCGUGCUUUUCAACAUAUACUCUACAACCCAUUAGACCUGUAAAAUUUACGCCAGGCACAGUGAUCAUUUUGUAUUUGAACAGGGGAGAAAACAUGGGAACCACGAGAACCGACAUUAAAUCAAUCAAACCAAUAUAACACAAGAUGUGGACACUCAGGAACCUUAUGCACUUAUUAUCGCUACCUGCAGAUCAUGACAGUCAUAAUACAUAGAUAUGAUACUGUCAAACAAACAGAGUAAGGUAAAAAUAUUAGUUAAGACAAGGCAUACACUAGUCUAGUUGAUACUACAUUAUUUGGCUUCUCAGAGACAUUUUGUCAAACAGGUUAGGACAGUGAUCGCUCAAACAAUACUUGACAGUAAUCUUCACAAACCAAUUUACAUGUGUGAGCGGGUGUGGGAUAGAACGGAGCGACAGGGGAUAGAGAAAGAGAUCGAGGAAACAAACUCACGUUCUAACUUCUUGUCUACCAUUGAUCAUUGUCUACCAUUGAUCGAAACUACGGAAUCCUUGACACAAUCUAUUAUCAAGCAACCAAUACUCAUGUAGCACAUCAUCUCUUCACAUCAAUCCCACAUUACCAUGCAAUGGAGGCCAACAGAGCAAUCAAACCGAUACUCGGAGAGUACUACCGGUAUGAUGGCACAAUAUUUUACAAAUCGCUGUGGAGUGCUAUAAAAGACUGUGUCUAUGUCGAGGAAGACGAAAGGAAAGGGAUUUAUUGGUAUAACAACAAGCUCUGAAUUCUGAUCUAGUUGCUCCAUAUCAUAAGAAAGAUAGCUCUGUGUUUUUCAGAUGUUGAUGAAUAAGCAUAUGCAUAUAUGUAAGUUUCAUCCUUUGUGAUAAAAUGCACAUAUUUGUAUGUUUGUAGACUCUACAUUUCAAUUUGCUUCUGUACUGCGCCACCUAUAUGUAAACUUCUGCACAAAUUUCUUGUACUUAGAGUUACUGAUAUAUGAAUUACCA